rnacentral:rRNA from 1 species
GAUGAACGCUAGCUACAGGCUUAACACAUGCAAGUCGAGGGGAAACGACAUCGAAAGCUUGCUUUUGAUGGGCGUCGACCGGCGCACGGGUGAGUAACGCGUAUCCAACCUGCCCAUCACUUGGGAAUAACCUUGCGAAAGUAAGACUAAUACCCAAUGAUAUCCCACGAAGGCAUCGGAAUGGGAUUAAAGAUUUAUCGGUGAUGGAUGGGGAUGCGUCUGAUUAGCUUGUUGGCGGGGUAACGGCCCACCAAGGCAACGAUCAGUAGGGGUUCUGAGAGGAAGGUCCCCCACAUUGGAACUGAGACACGGUCCAAACUCCUACGGGAGGCAGCAGUGAGGAAUAUUAGUCAAUGGGCGAGAGCCUGAACCAGCCAAGUAGCGUGCAGGAAGACGGCCCUAUGGGUUGUAAACUGCUUUUAUAAGAGAAUAAAGUGGGUCACGUGUGACUUUUUGCAUGUACCUUAUGAAUAAGGACCGGCUAAUUCCGUG